CCUACGGGAGGCAGCAGUAGGGAAUAUUGCUCAAUGGGGGAAACCCUGAAGCAGCAACGCCGCGUGGAGGAUGAAGGUUUUCGGAUUGUAAACUCCUUUUGUUAGAGAAGAUAAUGACGGUAUCUAACGAAUAAGCACCGGCUAACUCCGUGCCAGCAGCCGCGGUAAUACGGAGGGUGCACGCGUUACUCGGAAUCACUGGGCGGAAAGAGCGCGUAGGCGGGAUAGCAAGUCAGAUGUGAAAUCCUAUGGCUUAACCAUAGAACUGCAUUUGAAACUGUUAUUCUAGAGUAUGGGAGAGGUAGGUGGAAUUCUUGGUGUAGGGGUAAAAUCCGUAGAGAUCAAGAGGAAUACUCAUUGCGAAGGCGACCUGCUAGAACAUAACUGACGCUGAUGCGCGAAAGCGUGGGGAGCAAACAGGAUUAGAUACCCCAGUAGUC
rnacentral:rRNA from 1 species